AUUUGACACGCUCCCACGGUGGCCAGUCUGGCUCCGAGUUUUGGGCGUGGUUCGAUGAC
rfam:Candidatus Accumulibacter sp. 66-26 scnpilot_expt_750_p_scaffold_146, whole genome shotgun sequence.